ensembl:lncRNA
UAGUUAAGUGUAUAAACCAGAGCUUUAUUAUGGUCUUUACAUGAGCACGUCAGCUGUGCUGGAUAGAUGGUGACAAGUCCAGAGUGAACCCCAAAACAUAAGAAAUGUCCUUAAUUCCCCACAAUCUUCCAGCUCCAAGCCCCGAAACGAAACUCUUGAUGCAAACUGUAGAAUGUCAGGCAGUUCUGUUGAAGACAUUGGUGUUGUUGCCCUUCCUCCUCCAAGGCACCCUUUCAGAGAACGUGGAGAAUGUUUGCAGAAACUUGACUGGUGCAGUGGGGACGGGACUCACAGCUGCAGGAGAGGGGUCAGUCUACUUGGACCUCUGCCUCAUCUUUCGCCUUUUACGCUUCAGUCUGACGAUAAAAACAGCACAGAAAGCAUUUAAGAAAAUGACAGUAAAACACAGGCCACAAUCACCCCGAUUGGAAAUGUGUCUGCAAAAUACAGGAAAAACAAGUUAAACUUGGACAUUUUACCUGCGCAUACGCUUCUUCCUCCACUGUGAAAACAAAGACAACCAUUAGAAGCCGCACGUGAUUUUAACAGUCAAGCAGGACUAAAUUCAGCAUAUUGCCUGUAAUGAGGCAGGCAACUGAUGACUACAUUGGUCAAAUUAUCACUAAUAGAUAACUGUCCAUGUAUAUUCCAACAUACCCACGUGUGUUUGUAAAUAUGUUUAGCUAGCAAACCGACUACACCAUGCUAGUUUGGUGCAUAAUGGCUAACAACGUCUGCCUACACUGCCACUAUGCAGCUCUUAUUUCACAAGCCAGUUUUUACAAGAAAAGGCUACCUGGAACAAAUCACCUGGUGUUGUAUGAAACUAAGGCAACAAGAUAUCGAAACUUUUCGUAGGCUACGGUUGCAUUAGCUGGUGACGCACGUAACGUUAGCUAUGCAACGUUAGCUUCCUAUGUAAAUCCUGAAAAAUAAAUAAUGCGACAUUCCUUACCUUUGCUCUCAUGUUGUGGAGAUGUGUCUGAAAUGAAACAAAAUGUUAAAACAUAUGAUGGAUGCUUUUCAAGCGAUUAAGAUUGAAACGGAUUCAUUUUUACAUGUCGGAGAACCGUGACUUCCUACCUCGACGAGAAGACACCAACGGCAAGAG